UGAUACCAGCGCACGGCUUGG
rnacentral:misc_RNA from 1 species